AAAUAAGAGUCAUUCAUUUGAAGGCAUGAUACUUUAGAUAGCCAUUAAGGUAAUUAACAAUUAUGUUAAUGUCAUGAUGAUUGCAUUCAAAGUAAAGGCUCUAAUUUGCCAGGUGAAGAUCAAUCAUUUCAAAAGACAUCUACAUCAACAACGAAUCACAGAUGCAGACACACAAAGAGUAAUUCAAAUAAACUACCCAGUUACAGGCCACCUGAUUGGGCAAGCCACCUUCAAAAAUGAUUCCAUUAGUGAAAGUUAAGCUUUUUCAGCCAUUUACACCUAUUCAUAAAUGGAGUCUUCCAAAUAUACCAGAUGAUAUUGAUAUUUAUAUCAAGCGAGAUGACAUGACUGGAUCUGUUUUAUCAGGUAACAAGGU